rnacentral:tRNA from 1 species
GAAAUAUGAAAAUUCAAUUAAAAGCUGCUAACUUUUUAAUUUAAUAGUUAAAUUCUAUUUAUAUUUCU